UACAGAGGGGGCAAGCGUUGUUCGGAAUUACUGGGCGUAAAGGGCGCGUAGGCGGCCUUCUAAGUCGAACGUGAAAUCCCCGGGCUCAACCCGGGAACUGCGUCCGAUACUGGGAGGCUUGAAUCCGGGAGAGGGAUGUGGAAUUCCAGGUGUAGCGGUGAAAUGCGUAGAUAUUGGGAGGAACACCGGUGGCGAAGGCGGCCCCCUGGACCGGUCACUGACGCUGAGGCGCGAAAGCGUGGGUAGCAAACGGG
rnacentral:rRNA from 1 species